AUGAACGUGUCUUUUCAGUAAUUACAUGGUGACUAAUUUUACAUUCAAGCUAACCACUUAACUUUAAAUGUAUUUGAUUCUAUAGAUCAAGUAUAGACUUGGAAGCUUUGAAUAGAAAGCUAAGUAUGGGUUAUAACAAUAAGGAAAUAAAAUUAAUCUACUUGGAGUUCUUUUCUUUUAUCUAAACAAAUAAUCAGCUUUUAUGAUUUCAGGGCCAUUCAUUCCUCUUUCUUUCCUUAUAAAAGCAUUCACUCUGGUCACAAUUUUCUUUGUCUCUUUUGAUUACCUUGGGGACUCAGGCUAACACACCAGGUCUUACUCUCACUAACUUCAUGAUUCUUUUUCCCUACAAAGCUGAAUGUAGUUGAGGACCUUAGCGUAGCACAUCCAAAUGCGUUCUGCUUCCAUAGCAAAGGACUUUCAUGUUCAAUUUCACCAGGAUUUAAAAAGUGAAAUAUAAAUAUUUCAUUUUAGAAUUAUUAAAUGUUAACUGAACAUUUCGAGAAACAACAUCAUCUUGUUUGCCCCAGAGGGUCUCAGCCACCCUGCAGACUACCCACCUCCAGAUUAGGGCACCUGAGUCAAAGCUAUCCCCAGGAUGAAUAAGCAAGGCUCUGGAGAAAAUGAUCAGUUGGGGGCCAAUUCACUUUAGAACAGCAAUGAUGAUGCUCUUAUUCAUAGGUGUUGAAGGAAUGGUGAUACUUGGCUGGCAGAGUCUUUGUUUACUGAUUUAUUUCUCCCUCUUUUCUAGGAGAUACAGCAAAAGCUCAUACUGUCUGUAUAAUGCUUCCACAAGCACAGUCAUGGUCCUACUUGCUUUUCUGAUGCCAAUAUUUUUUGGAAUGGGCUGCUUGAGAAUGCAACCACUUGCCUCCAAAGAUGCUACAACUGAAGUCUAAACUGAAGGGAGUGAUGUGGCUGGGGAAGACACAGUGUGACUAAGAGCAGAACCAUUCUGUGGGAAGUCUCAGGUUCCUUAGUCAUGGUCUUGUUCCCACUUUGCUCUUCCUUUUCUCCUUUCCUUCUCUCUCCUUCUCUUCAUUCCUUUUUCCGUUUCUUUCCUUGAACUAUUUGUACACUUUAGCUCAUUGUACUUUAUUAUUUGUUCCUUUUUGUUUGUUUUAGUCUUCUCCAUCCUGGUUCUCAUUCCAAUCCAAACCCCACCAUGGGUUACAUACCGUCUUUGAUACAGGCUCUUAAAUGUGCCUUUACCUUAUAAACUCAGCAGUAGCAGUUUUGAUUGCGUAAUAAAUUCUACAGAAACUCAGGGGCCCUCUACCUG
rnacentral:lncRNA from 1 species